ACGGGUAGCCGGCCUGAGAGGGUGACCGGCCACACUGGGACUGAGACACGGCCCAGACUCCUACGGGAGGCAGCAGUGGGGAAUAUUGCACAAUGGGCGAAAGCCUGAUGCAGCAACGCCGCGUGAGGGAUGACGGCCUUCGGGUUGUAAACCUCUUUUAGUAGGGAAGAAGCGAAAGUGACGGUACCUGCAGAAAAAGCACCGGCUAACUACGUGCCAGCAGCCGCGGUAAUACGUAGGGUGCGAGCGUUGUCCGGAAUUAUUGGGCGUAAAGAGCUCGUAGGCGGUCUGUCGCGUCUGCUGUGAAAACCCGAGGCUCAACCUCGGGCUUGCAGUGGGUACGGGCAGACUAGAGUGCGGUAGGGGAGAAUGGAAUUCCUGGUGUAGCGGUGGAAUGCGCAGAUAUCAGGAGGAACACCGAUGGCGAAGGCAGUUCUCUGGGCCGUAACUGACGCUGAGGAGCGAAAGCGUGGGGAGCGA
rnacentral:rRNA from 1 species